GACGAACGCUGGCGGCGUGCUUAACACAUGCAAGUCGAACGGAAAGGCCUGCUUUCCCUUGUGGAUUGCGGGUACUCGAGUGGCGAACGGGUGAGUAACACGUGAGUGAUCUGCCCCCAACUUGGGUAUAAGCCUGGGAAACUGGGUCUAAUUCCCGAUAGGACUGCAGGGUGGUGCCUGUGGUGGAAAACGAUUUUCUAGUGGUUGGGGAUGAGCUCGCGGCCUAUCAGCUUGUUGGUGGGGUAAUGGCCUACCAAGGCGGCGACGGGUAGCCGGCCUGGGAGGGUGGGCGGCCACAUUGGGACGGCGAUACGGCCCAGACUCCUACGGGAGGCAGCAGUGGGGAAGAUGGCACGAUGGGCGGAAGCCUGAUGCAGCGACGCCGAGUGGGGGAUGACGGCCUUCGGGUUGUAAACUCCUUUCGACCGCGAGGAAGCCACCUGGUUGGAAGGGUGGUGACGGUAGUGGUAGAAGAAGCACCGGCUAACUACGUG
rnacentral:rRNA from 1 species